CCCCUCAACCAGCCCAGGGAGAGGGCUUCCCCCGCCUCAUCCCUCCUCCCCCGCUCCCUCCUUCCCCCCCGCCUCUCUCUCCAUCCCUCAGAAGCUCGGGAGGAGCAGCCGGGCCGGGCCAGGUCUCUCAGCUCUUGUCCCGGGGCUGGUGGCUCCUGCAGCAUGGUUUGCUCACAGUCCCCAUUGCCAUCUCACCUGCAGCCAGAACAGACCUCUCCUUCCCUGCAGACAUGUCCCUUCACAGCAUCCCACUUUCAGCACCUGCCCCUUGGCCUCAUCGCCAGGCAGCACCUCCAUCCAUUGCCAUUUCACUGGGAUUCUCCCAGCACAUGGACAGUUUCACUGUAAGGAAACACCUUUCCUCUGACCUGCCCGUGGCUGCCCCCAGGCACCAGCCUGGCCUUUCCAUCACCCUCUUUGGCCAUCUGACAAGUGCCACUUCCUCAAAAUUGUGGCAGCUCUGGGGAAUUUAAAGGUCAAGUAUCAGCUGCUGGCGUUGCUCCACGGAGACAAUCUUCAGUCCAAAAGGAUGCCUGACCUUCCUUCUGUUGCAGGCAAAGUCAUUGUAAUUUUUCUCUUGCACUUCAUUUUAACCUCAUGGAAGCAAUGACAUUGGGUUUUGUUUAAAGUCAUGAGAUCGGCCUUUGUGACACACAAGUGUUCAAAAAUAAACACUUGAGGAAAAGUUUUGCUGUAAUUUAAACUGUUCCUUUCUCCCAUGCAUCCACCUACCAUCUAUGGCAGGAGUGUGUGAUAACAGCGGAAACUUUUUCCCUCCGUUUUCCACGAAACACCAGAGACCCACAUGUGGCCCCAUGCUAUGCAGUCAAGACUAAGAUUUGCAUCUGGAUCUGUGAAAGGAAAAUGCUUUCUGGUGCCGCAUCACAGACUGCAAAAUGUAGCAGGAGCCUUUUUCUGCAUCUUCAUGCCCCGUGUAUUUUGCAGUGGAAGCAUAAUAUUUUAUCAAUUCAAAACGAAUUUUCAGUGUGAAGGACAGUUGCAAAAAUUUCAUUUGCAUUAAAUAAAUUUUAGAAAGAAUUCUGUGUUCAGUUUCAGCCUGCACAUAGAGUAACUAAAAAUUAAAAUACAAUAUUCAAAAGUA